GCUUUAUUAAGCCCGGGUCAGGGCUUGGCUGUCAAAUGUCUUAGGGAGGGAAGGGGGUGCGUUUCAUUCCACCCACCUGGCUAGGAACUCGUUAACUGAGAAGCCUUGUUUCUUUAUCACAUUUAUAUCCCGCCUUUACUCCCAAGGAGCACAAGCUAGAGUACAUGGUUCUUUCCCCUCCCCAUUUUAAAUAAUUAAUUAAUAUAAAUAAUAAUAUAAAUUAUUAAUAAUAAUAAUCCUCACAAGAACCCUUGAGGUAGUUUAAGUUGAGAGAUGGUGACAGGCCCGAGGCCAUCGCUGAGAAAAGGGAUUUGAAUCCUGGUCUUCCAAGCCCUGGUCUAGUAACCACUGCACCACAGUGGCUGCCUGAAAGCCUUUGAUGUAUCUGAAAUUUCUUCCACUGAUGCAGCUUGCUUGUGUCUGCAAAAGUUUUGAUGUGACCCUAUUAAAGGACCCUUGCAGUGGGGGUAGUUUCCAUGUAUUUAAGUAGGUUAUAUAUACGUGUGUGAAUGGGUGAUUUAUGAGAGAUUCAGAACAGACUAAAGGCCACAUAUUUCUUCACCGUUGGUUACCACAAGAUGUAGUGAUGGCCACAAAUUUGAGUGGCUUUAAGGGAUUAGAUAAAUGAGGAUAUGGUCAUCAAUAGCUGUAGCCACCAGAGUCAGAGGCAACAUGCAUCUUCUGAACACCAUUUGCUGUGGGAGAAGGUGCUUGUGUCCUGCUGUGGGUUUCCCCAUAGACAACCGGUUAGUCACUGUAAGAACAGGGUGUUGGAUGAAGAAGGGCCUUUGGUCUGAUCCAGCAAGCUCUUUGUAUGGGACAGGGUACAAGCCAAAAGCUGGGACGGAACAAAACCAGACCCAACAACCCCUUGGUAAGACAGCUGGAUGUGUUAGAGACAUUUUAGUAUUAUUAUUUAUGAGAUUUCUGUACAGUACUGCCCUUCAUCUGAAGAUCAGAGUGGUUUACACUUGAGAAUGACAGAAUGAUACAUAUUUCAGAACUGAAACGGCCUCUGUAUUAUACUUUUAUUAACAUCCUCACACCCAUAAACUACCUGUUCCAGGCAAUAAACACUUUUCCAGAAAAACACUUUGGAGUGUCUACUUCCAAGGUCAACAUUACAACUAAGUAAGAUGGGAAUGAUGUGUUAAAUUACAAUAUUUCUACAGAACCCACAUUCUAUGGUUAUUUUCAGGCAAUCAGUGGUGUUGCUAGAAAACAGCAUCAACUACUAAAGAAGCCAAACCAGCCCAGUUCACCAGCCAAGAGACUAGAUACACUGCUGACACAGGAAAUUUGCACAAAAUCCACAUUCCAGUCAUUGUUUCACAUCUUCUGAGGCAUAGGUGGACUGCAGUUGAUACACCACAAGAAAAAUCAUGAGAAAAAUUAAAAUAAAUAGGCUGGUAAGGAAAGUCUUCUUUUUCUGUCUUUGAUUUUUUUCUAAACCAGAAACCCCACAUUUUUAAAAUACCUUUCAAAAUACUCAUUAAAGGAAUCAAAUGGGGGAAAACAGCAUGUUCCAUGGGAAUCCACAAGAGACUAUUCAUUAAUAAAAAAUGCAACCAUACAAAGAGUCAACAACAAUGUAGAAGAUUUGAACAACCGAAUACUUGUAACUAUCAUAGGUUUCCAAGCAGAACUAUCCUGCAGACUGUUAACAUUACAUCAGGGUGGAUCAUUCAUGCACCUAUCAAUUCAAAACGCCUCUCCGGUGGUGGCAGGCUCUCUGCUGGGCUGUUGCUUGGUGACUUCUUACACCAGGAACCACCUUAUGCUGUCUGUUCAGAGUGACACCCUCACAUUCUCAAGUAGUUUCUCUUUAGGCACAGAAGAAAGCUUGCUGCUAUCAUGUGCACAGCCAUUUGGGACUAACUCCAACUGAACACAAGGGACUUACUUCUGUGUAAAUAUGCAUUCGAGUGGGCUGUGGACCUUUGAAAACAGUGGGACUAUGCAGAAAGAUAAAUCUGAACACC